ACACAUUCCAGCCAAUCAGCAGCAGACCCUCCCUCCCAGACCCUCCCACCUCCUGGACAGCAUCCAUUUUACAUUCAUUGUGAAGCUGCAUUCUUAGUGAGCUGUCCAGGAGGUGGGAGGGUCUGGGAGGGAGGGUCUGCUGCUGAUUGGCUGGAAUGUGUCU